CGAAAGCCUGACGGAGCAACGCCGCGUGGGGGAAGAAGGUUCUUGGAUUGUAAACCCCUUUUCUCAGGGAAGAAGUUCUGACGGUACCUGAGGAAUCAGCCUCGGCUAACUCCGUGCCAGCAGCCGCGGUAAUACGGAGGAGGCAAGCGUUAUCCGGAAUUAUUGGGCGUAAAGCGUCCGCAGGUGGCAAUUCAAGUCUGCUGUCAAAGCACGGGGCUUAACUCCGUUAAGGCAGUGGAAACUGAAUAGCUAGAGUGCCGUAGGGGUAGAGGGAAUUCCCGGUGUAGCGGUGAAAUGCGUAGAUAUCGGGAAGAACACCAGAGGCGAAAGCGUUCUGCUGGGCCGCGCCUGACCCUGAGGGACGAAAGCCAGGGGAGCG
rnacentral:rRNA from 1 species